rnacentral:misc_RNA from 1 species
ACACCUCAACUCUCAUGGCUUUGCCCAUGAUGAGCUUGGACUUUGGGGGUCUUGCUGGCCUAUGGGUCUGCUCCUCUCAAACAAAUCAGCUUACCAGUGUUUGGUGGCAUCACAGGUGUGAUAACUAUCUACGCUUGUGGUUUUCCACCAGGGUAACCCCCAGCGAUGGAGGUUUGCUGGAGCUCAUAAACGUCUCUCCUCAGUUAGGACAGCUUUUUGAAC